GGGGUAAUGGCUCACCAAGGCGACGAUCCGUAACUGGUCUGAGAGGAUGAUCAGUCACACUGGAACUGAGACACGGUCCAGACUCCUACGGGAGGCAGCAGUGGGGAAUAUUGGACAAUGGGCGAAAGCCUGAUCCAGCCAUGCCGCGUGUGUGAAGAAGGUCUUCGGAUUGUAAAGCACUUUAAGUUGGGAGGAAGGGCAGUAAGUUAAUACCUUGCUGUUUUGACGUUACCGACAGAAUAAGCACCGGCUAACUCUGUGCCAGCAGCCGCGGUAAUACAGAGGGUGCAAGCGUUAAUCGGAAUUACUGGGCGU
rnacentral:rRNA from 1 species